rnacentral:tRNA from 1 species
GAGGUUGUAGCUCAGUGGAAGAGCAAGUGCUUGGCAUGCAUGGGGACUGGGUUCAAUCCCCAGUGUUUCCG